rnacentral:rRNA from 1 species
GGAUGGUUGUUGAACCGCAUGGUUCAAACAUAAAAGGUGGCUUCGGCUACCACUUACAGAUGGACCGCGGCGCAUNAGCUAGUUGGUGAGGUAANGGCUCACCAAGGCAACGAUGCGUAGCCGACCUGAGAGGGUGAUCGGCCACACUGGGACUGAGACACGGCCCAGACUCUACGGGAGGCAGCAGUAGGGAAUCUUCCGCAAUGGACGAAAGUCUGACGGAGCAACGCCGCGUGAGUGAUGAAGGUUUUCGGAUCGUAAAGCUCUGUUGUUAGGGAAGAACAAGUACCGUUCGAAUAGGGCGGUACCUUGACGGUACCUAACCAGAAAGCCACGGCUAACUACGUGCCAGCAGCCGCGGUAAUACGUAGGUGGCAAGCGUUGUCCGGAAUUAUUGGGCGUAAAGGGCUCGCAGGCGGUUUCUUAAGUCUGAUGUGAAAGCCCCCGGCUCAACCGGGGAGGGUCAUUGGAAACUGGGGAACUUGAGUGCAGAAGAGGAGAGUGGAAUUCCACGUGUAGCGGUGAAAUGCGUAGAGAUGUGGAGGAACACCAGUGGCGAAGGCGACUCUCUGGUCUGUAACUGACGCUGAGGAGCGAAAGCGUGGGGAGCGAACAGGAUUAGAUACCCUGGUAGUCCACGCCGUAAACGAUGAGUGCUAAGUGUUAGGGGGUUUCCGCCCCUUAGUGCUGCAGCUAACGCAUUAAGCACUCCGCCUGGGGAGUACGGUCGCAAGACUGAAACUCAAAGGAAUUGACGGGGGCCCGCACAAGCGGUGGAGCAUGUGGUUUAAUUCGAAGCAACGCGAAGAACCUUACCAGGUCUUGACAUCCUCUGACAAUCCUAGAGAUAGGACGUCCCCUUCGGGGGCAG